UCAGCCCACUCCCUGCUCCUUCUGCAGUAAACUUUAACCACAGAAAUACUGAACUGGAGACACUCGCUGAGCAUAACAAGUUAUAGAGAUGGAGAAGUCUAAGGUCUUCCACCUCAGGUGCUGGAGAUAGUUAUAGGGCCAGAGGGAAGAAGCCAACUAUAGGAAUUCUGCCUCAAAGCUUCUUACAGAAAUAAAGGAUCUAAAGGUUUGACACAGGGUGACAGUCCUCAGUGGGGUAAGCCUGUGUGUAUCCGCCUCACGUAGAGACCAACCAAGGAUGUGAAUUUAAUAUUCUACAACAGAAUCCCAAACACAAGUAAACACCUACAGUGCUUCAAAGAUGCCUGUCUUUCAGUGGAACAUGCCCAUCUUUUGUGCACCAGACUAGAGUGGUUGUUCCUGUCUCCUGCAAACCCCCUGCUGUAGCUGUUCUAGUUAAGUUUCUCCCAUCACCCUAUUAUUUUGGGGCAACUUGUAAGUGGCUCCACUAAGUUUCUGGGCCUACGUGUAAAUCUGCUACUGGCAGUGGAAGAAGAGUAUAGUGAGCAUAGGUCUCUGACGCGAGUUAUGUUUUGGGGGCACUAACAUAUUUCUGUGGGCAGAGUUCCACUGGGAGGCGUCUGCUGUCUCUGUACUUUCCUGUGGAUAGUGAUAGAGGAUAAGAAAUUCUCUGUUCAUUGUCCCCGGUGAUAAUUUGCAACUUCUGAUGGUCAGCCUUCCCAUUUUAAAUGAGAGUAGGGGUUAAUACUAUCCAUGAGGCCAAAGCCUAUACUAACAGACCUCAAAAGGUCAGCAGCAACAGAAAUAGACUAAAGAAGUGAAUGAUCUUUAGAAAAUGCCCAGGUUUGGCAGACUGUUUCGCACCCUUACAACCUGCAAGUUCAAUCAGUUGAUUUAGUGAGAAUCAUUUAGGUGUUUUCCAUAUAUUUGAAUCUACCAAGGUCUAAAUCGGGGACGCAGAGAGAGACAGAAAAAUGAUUCAAGCAGGAAACUAAAAAUGCCGUGGGCUUCAUUCCAUUAAUGUAAUUAAAAAUAACUUUGCAUGAGCCUAUCUUUAAGAUUCUCUCUUAUGGAAACAAUUUUAAAGAAUAAAAAUGAGGGAACACUACAUUUGUGUGAAAUGGAUGUAACUUUGGGACCAAAAUGAGAGCAAUGCCUCUUGACAUGUGGAACAGUUGAGAGGUAUGUGUGUUUGUAUAAAUAAUCAACAAGCAGCAGAAAGUCAUCUUAGUGAUUAAGGAGUAGAGCUGCACGGAUAAGUGACUUUUUAGUUCCAAAAAAUAAAGUUACAGAAAAGAAAAUUAGUUUAGUUUGAACCAAAACUUUUUGGUAUUUUUGGUGAAUCAGAAAAAGCUAGAAAAUUUUAUUUUGGGUUGAAUAAAAUGUUUCGAUUUGGGACAUUUUUAAAUAAAACCAAAGGAAAUGAAGGGCUAGAUUCACAAAAACAAAUAUGACACACACAUCUCCCCCACCCCACACACUU